rnacentral:rRNA from 1 species
CUACGGGGGGCUGCAGUGAGGAAUAUUGCACAAUGGGGGGAACCCUGAUGCAGCAACGCCGCGUGGAGGAUGACGCAUUUCGGUGUGUAAACUCCUUUUAUAUGUCAAGAAAAUGACGGUAGCAUAUGAAUAAGCACCGGCUAACUCCGUGCCAGCAGCCGCGGUAAUACGGAGGGUGCAAGCGUUACUCGGAAUCACUGGGCGUAAAGGACGCGUAGGCGGGUUGGAAAGUCAGGUGUGAAAUCCUACAGCUUAACUGUAGAACUGCACUUGAAACUUCUAAGCUAGAGUAUGGGAGGGGGAGAUGGAAUUAGUGGUGUAGGGGUAACAUCCGUAGAUAUCACUAGGAAUACCUAAAGCGAAGGCGAUCUCCUGGAACAUUACUGACGCUAAGGCGUGAAAGCGUGGGGAGCAAACAGGAUUAGAUACCCCGGUAGUC